CAGGGGUCACCUUGGUGGUGCUCAGCAGCAGGAGUAAGAGGACGAAAAAAAAAAAGAUGGAGCAGCAAGACUACAAAAGUGGAGUAAGCAGAGAUGUGGAGGAGCCAGAAACAUUGUGGCUUGGUUCUUUCUUGUGAGGUGGAAGUAGGGACACUUUGUAAGUACAUCGUGUGAUUGGUGCUCUUCUGUCCUCCCUCUCACUCCCCACAUCUCUCAGUUUUACAAUUUGUGUAGUGAAGAAAAUUAGAAGUUUCUAAUUCAUAUUUACCUCGUGGUCUCUCUUUUUGUUUCUCUAAAAUUUCAUUACUACAAGAUUGCAUCAGUAUUUUUUCAGCUAGCUAGCUCCAUUCUUGACGUGAUGCUCCAAUAUCACACUUCUUGACGUGAUGCUCCAAUAUCAGGGGUCUUGGGUCCGCUCAAUGAAUAGCAAUGAAAAUCUUCCUCCACUAGCAAGUGAGAACCGGAGGGGAAGAGGAAGAUGCAUAGAGGGAGAUUGAAAGGAGGAGAAUAUAGUCCGAGCGAGGAGGAAGAGGAGACCU